AUUGAACGCUGGCGGCAGGCCUAACACAUGCAAGUCGAGCGGAUGAAGGGAGCUUGCUCCUGGAUUCAGCGGCGGACGGGUGAGUAAUGCCUAGGAAUCUGCCUGGUAGUGGGGGAUAACGUCCGGAAACGGGCGCUAAUACCGCAUACGUCCUGAGGGAGAAAGUGGGGGAUCUUCGGACCUCACGCUAUCAGAUGAGCCUAGGUCGGAUUAGCUAGUUGGUGGGGUAAAGGCCUACCAAGGCGACGAUCCGUAACUGGUCUGAGAGGAUGAUCAGUCACACUGGAACUGAGACACGGUCCAGACUCCUACGGGAGGCAGCAGUGGGGAAUAUUGGACAAUGGGCGAAAGCCUGAUCCAGCCAUGCCGCGUGUGUGAAGAAGGUCUUCGGAUUGUAAAGCACUUUAAGUUGGGAGGAAGGGCAGUAAGUUAAUACCUUGCUGUUUUGACGUUACCAACGAAUAAGCACCGCAAU
rnacentral:rRNA from 1 species